rnacentral:lncRNA from 1 species
UUUUAUUAGUACUGUUUACCAAUGGGGAGAUGCAGUUUAUUUACACCAGCAGCCACAGGGGCAAGGGGAAUACACAGCGAUCUGUAUAGGAUGGACCACUUAUGCAAAAAUAAUAAUCUCCAAAACAAGGGACAGAGGUGAGCCUCACUACACUUUUCCCAUGACCCCAGCAUGCGACAACGCCAGGCACUGGCCCCUGCACAUGCGGUGGCGGGAACUAAUGUACGGAAGAAAAAGCCACGAACCACAGACGUCUGUAAAGAACCCCUUCCCCCCCAUACACACACACACACACACACACACACACACACUCGGAUACGUAAUAGAAUUACAGGGUGAUCGAUAUACUUAAUUGAGGGAGGAAGGAAGGGCAGGAAUUCUGCUGUUCGAGGGAAGGCAGGAAGGGAAAGGGAGAGUUCCUAACCACGGUCAACUACGGGCCGGGAGCACUCCUGCCCCAGAAAAGGAAGGGGUCCGUGUGUCCCCGCAGGGCUCCUGUUGGACCCAGGCCGUUGCCCCAAUAACGGGAAGGCAGAGAACGAAAACCAUGACCAAGAGGGAGGGAAAGCGAAGCAACGGUUACUGAGGAUUGCUUUCCACCUCUCCCUCCCUAACCAGGAGGCUGACCGGCAAGGGGCAAGGGUACAAGGGGUCUCCGUCAGAGCUCCCCCCUCACCUUACCCACAGCUGGUUUCCCUUCUGCCCCUCUGCAGCCCCCUGCGAGGAGAUGGCUACAAAGCCAAGGGCAGAUAACCCCAAAUCGUUUUAACUCUUGCCGAGCUUUAACUUCCUAAAAAGUCAGCAAAAUUCUUGAAGACCAACCGGUAAGGACACCUCAACCUCGGCCAGGACAACUCUGGGGGGAACGCAAUGACCGACAGUCUCGCGGCCCUAUCGCUACGGUUCCCUCGAGGGAUCUGCGUGACACCCAUCGGCCGCAGGGUCCAAGCAGGUCCUCCCGGGAUGAGUAACGGUACCUGCACAGCAAGGGCUGGCAAACCAGACCAGGCCCCGCUCCACCCCUGCGUGUCGCUAGGCGUCCCUGCUCUUCCGCUUAGGCCCCGAGAGGCAGCAUCCCAGUGCAAGGGGGGAGGUGCAGGGGCCCCCGAAAGGAGACCCGCAGGGAGGCAUCCAAGGCAGUCCUGCAGGCAGAUGCCUAGGCGGGGCCCUGCCUUUCCUGCACAAAUCGUUACCGUCUCUCCCAUCUUCAUCCCCACAGAGGAAACCACCUGAAAGGUUCUUCUCUGGAUCUCCCAGAACAAGGAAGGGGAGAGAAAAAAAAAAGAAAGGAAAAACUUGAAAGAAGCCGAUGAGAGGGCACCUGGGCAGGUUGGAGCGGGAGCAUGGAGAGAUGAACUGCAGCUGGCCGGUGUGGAAGCAGGGGAGCCGGCAGCACCUGGGGUCCAGCUGCACUGGACGGGCAGGGGAGCAGGGGACAGUGGGGACACGGGGCGGGCCGGACGGAUGAGGCUGGGCCCCGUGCUGGGGCACAGAAUGAGGUAAGAAAACAUUUCAAAUAAAGCAGCACCGUUCCCGCUCACUUUGGGGUUCUCGCCCCUCUACACUUCCUAAGUCCUCAGCAGGGAGCAAAGUGGAGGGUGGCUUUGAGGCGUGGCUCACGUUUCCCAUCCUGGCCUGUCCCGACCCCGACUGCCCACAAGAAGGCAGCUCUUGUCAGGAAUGUCCAAAAGGGACUGAAUGGAAGGGGCCGCCCCUCCCGAGGGGCAGGGGUGGCGGUGAGGGUCUAGACAGAUGCUCGCAGUCACACGGCUUGGGCUGCCCGGGGAUGCUGCAGUGGGAGGCUAGGCGACCCCUCCCUGCCCCCCCAUCCCGGGUAUGCUGCAGUGGGAGGCCAGGCGACCCCUUCCUGCCCCCCGGCUCCGGGGACUACGCCGUCAACCUGGAGGGCCGCUGGCAGAAGCCACCCUGGGCCCCGCCGUCCAAUCGGUCUGCUGCACAGCCUCUGCGGCACUGGUCAUUGCGGGCCGCCCCCGGGGGCGCAGGAGGCCGGUGGGGACCUGGUGGGCUGCCCGGGCCAGACACCCGAACGGGCGGGCUGGCCGGCCAGGGGCUCAGUGAGCACAGGGGGGCCGCGCACAGCAGCGCAUAUCCGGGCGCGAACCUGCGGAGGGGGUGGGGGGGUAGGGUCGUGCACCGCUGCAGAGGCCCCGGUACCUCCCCAAGGCACCGGGACCAGAGCCUCGGCCUGCCGGGCCACCAGGCUGCCCACCGGACGGGGGGCAAGCGCUCGGCCCUGGUCCCCACGGCGUCCGCGGAGCUGCGGGCGCGGGGACCCCAGGCCGUGGCUAGCGUGGACGUCCUCUCCCGCCUACAGCCGGGGCCGCGAGGCUUCCCCUCCGGGACCGCGCGGCGGUCCUUCUCCUUGGCUUGCCCUGUGUUGGGGCUGGCAACGCCCAGACCUCGCGCCCGCUGACGUCCCGCGUCCGGGAGGAAGCGCCGCAAGAAGUCCCGGCCGGGCUCCUCCCCAGGGCGGCUUGGGGGACCUGAGCACCCGCUGCGCCCCAGCAGCGCGUCGUCUUCGUCGUCUUCUGGGGAGCCUGGGGCCCCAGGCAGGCAGCCCGGUACAGCGCGGCUCCUCCCGCCCGGGCCUCCGGGGCGACUCUGGGGGUCACCCCUGCAGAGUGAUCCCAACCCUUGCGUCCUACAUGCGGGGCCUUCAGAGGCUGGGACGCUCAGCAUGCGGGGCCCUGUCACCUGCCGCGUCUGCGCUCCCCUCCGGGCCGUGUCACUGGCUGUGUCUGUGCGUGUCCCCGUCUUUCGCAGGGAUGCUCUGGGGGUCACCUCCGCCUGGCGAUCCUGGUCCUUGCGUCCUGCACGCGGGGCCUCGAGAGGCUGGGAUGCUCAGCGCGCGCCGGGCCGUAUCACCUGCUGCGUCUGCGCGUCUGUCCCCGUCUGCGCUCUGCACUGGGCUGCCCGCCGUCUCCCGUGAGGCCUCUAGGGGGUCCCCCCCGCACAAAGAUCCGGGCCCUUGCGUCCUGCACGCGGAGCCUCGAGGCUGGGAUGCUCAGCGCGUGGGGCCGUGUCACCUGCUGUAUCUGUCCGUGUCCCCGUCUCCCUUGGGGCCUCCAGGGGUCACCCCCGUACGGCGAUCCGGGCCCUUGGGUCCUGCAUGCGGGGCCUCCAGAGGCUGGGAUGCUCAGUGCGCGCGGGGCCGUGUCACCUGCUGUGUCUGUCCGUGUCCCCGUCUCCCGCGGGGCCCCCGGGGGUCACCUCCGCCCGGCGAUCCGGGCCCUUGGGUCCUGCAUGCGGGACCUCCAGAGGCUGGGAUGCUCAGUGCGCGCGGGGCCGUGUCACCUGCUGUGUCUGUCCGUGUCCCCGUCUCCCGCAGGGCCCCCGGGGGUCACCUCCGCCCGGCGAUCCGUGCCCUUGGGUCCUGCACGCGGGGCCUCGAGAGGCUGGGAUGCUCAGCGCGCACGGGGCCGUGUCACCUGCCGCGUCUGUCCGCGUCCCCCGGGGGCCCCCUCCCCGCCCGGCGAUGUGGGCC